rnacentral:rRNA from 1 species
GUGGGGAAUAUUGGACAAUGGGCGAAAGCCUGAUCCAGCCAUGCCGCGUGUGUGAAGAAGGUCUUCGGAUUGUAAAGCACUUUAAGUUGGGAGGAAGGGCAGUAAGUUAAUACCUUGCUGUUUUGACGUUACCGACAGAAUAAGCACCGGCUAACUUCGUGCCAGCAGCCGCGGUAAUACGAAGGGUGCAAGCGUUAAUCGGAAUUACUGGGCGUAAAGCGCGCGUAAGUGGUUUUGUAAGUUGGAGGUGAAAUCCCCGGGCUCAACCUGGGAACUGACUCCAAAACUACUGAGCUAGAGUACGGUAGAGGGUAGUGGAAUUUCCUGUGUAGCGGUGAAAUGCGUAGAUAUAGGAAGGAACACCAGUGGCGAAGGCGACUACCUGGACUGAUACUGACACUGAGGUGCGAAAGCGUGGGGAGCAAACAGGAUUAGAAACCCCAGUAGUCC